CAUCUUUGCCUCUUCCGUACGUUCUGGAUGAGGUUUGUUAAAAUUCCAAUAUUGCAAAAAGCUUUAUAUAGGGCCCAUCACAUUAAGGGUCACUAUGCACUGUUCUGUCUCAAAUGGCCUAAUCAGAACUGACUCCCAUAUAACACUUCCUGCAAUCCUCAUAUGAGAAGCUUGAGCUUUUAGUUUUGACUUUUUCUUUUCUCGUUCUUUCUUAUUUUUUGCUAUAUAAGUUGAGACAAAGAUAGUUAAGGCCAUGAAUUUGCCCCCAAAAUUUGAACUAUGUAUGUGAUCAAUCAAUGUUAGUGUGUGCAUUCUAUAAAGUAUUCAUUUUUUACUAUGAUAGAUGCUUUUGUGUUUGGUGUGGUGGCCAUUUCCCAGUGUACAGGUGCAGGGACCUUGCUCUAUCCACUUAAUGAUGUUUAUAGCCUCAUUUUAGACAUUUCUGUGCACCCCCUAUAUUUCUUGACUAUUUUAUUUUUCUGAUAAAAGCUCAUGGUAUAUCUUACUCAGUCCUGUGAGCAGUGCUCCUUUGGCGACAUUGGUGCAAAGAGCAGAACCCCACAAGCAGCAUGAGGUUCCCUUCACUGGUGGCUCCAAUAUUGCACUUUCCUCUGCCAACUGGUCUCCACACUUUUCCUAGCACCUUAAAGACUUCAACUCUUUCUCCUAAGGAAUUUUCUGGCAAUUGUCGAUUGCUAAGCACAUGACUUCAUGAGUGUUCCCCUAAUACACACGCAUGUUGUAACCUACCAUGCAGACUAUUUCUUGAUGUGAUAUAAAGCACCUGUACAUAAUGAGACAGGAGAACUUUUGACUGCAUAUUCAAGCUGGUGUGAAAUCUCAGGAAGUUUUAAUGGCUAACAUUGGUGAAUGAGGACAAAAUGAUGAGACAUUUUUUGGGCAAGAUUUGACAGGAAACAUUCAUUUAGAUGCAUAGGAAUUACUAAGGUUUUUUAUAAUCAAGCCUUGAGGAAAAUUUGGCUUUGGAAGCAGGAGAUGCUCAGUGGCACUGCCCCGGGAAAGUCUCCUGGAAAGGGCACCUCUGCUUAUGCUCAGUACAGGGAGAACAUUAGCAGGAGGCAAAGUCUGCUCCCCAUGACAUCUGCUGUCCCUUCUUGGACAUUCUAUUGUCUCCUAGAGAGUUCUGGCAUCCUCUGUGAUGUCACCAGUGUUGUAGUGACAACCAGUGCCCUAGUUUCUCUCAGUCUGAGUCUGGCGGUUACAAGCUAAGACAUGUUUUCCCGUCUUCGCAAGCGUUUUGGGAGGGGGAACGUCGAUUCUGGAGAGACUAGAGUGAAGGAGUCUGGCCUUUCGUCUCAAAGUAAUGAUGGACAAAGACAGCACUUCUGGGGAAUGUGGAACUCUGGGAGAGAAACAUCAUCCCCUGGCACUGAACUAAGCAAGAAUCAGGAAAAGGAGAGGCUGAUUAAAGAGCUGCAGCUCAUUUCCUAGGAGAGAAAUGACCUGAGAGAUCGCCUGAGGUUUCUGACAGAGAGAUCCA
rnacentral:sRNA from 1 species